rnacentral:tRNA from 1 species
GCGAGUGUGGCGGAAUUGGCAGACGCUGUCGGUUUAGGUCCGGCCGCCUUCGGGCGUGGGGGUUCGAGUCCCCCCACUCGCA